UGGUCGUUUGAGGGUUUCUUCAUGGUGUCAAAUUAAAACAACAAUUUGAUCUGAAAAAUCUGCAAUUUCAAUGACGUUAACCCAGCUGCUAAGAAAUAUCAACAAUGCAGCAUGAAAAAUGCCCAUUCGAAGUACACCCUCGCCAAGGGAGUUAGUUCCAAUUCAAAACAACUCGAACGAAAAGAGGCUAAAGAUGGCUACAUGGGACACAUGUGUAUUCAGGAUUCCAUUUCCAAGAGCAAAUAUUCCAGGAACACAGUGAGAAGGUAGCCACCUGCAAGCCAAGAAGAAAGUCCUCACCAGGAACUAAUCCUGAUCUUGGAUCUCUUCAGAACU